CGGGUGAGUAAUACAUCGGAACGUGCCCUGUAUGGGGGAUAACUAGUCGAAAGAUUAGCUAAUACCGCAUACGACCUGAGGGUGAAAGUGGGGGACCGCAAGGCCUCAUGCUAUAGGAGCGGCCGAUGUCUGAUUAGCUAGUUGGUGGGGUAAAGGCCUACCAAGGCGACGAUCAGUAGCUGGUCUGAGAGGACGAUCAGCCACACUGGGACUGAGACACGGCCCAGACUCCUACGGGAGGCAGCAGCA
rnacentral:rRNA from 1 species